rnacentral:rRNA from 1 species
GAAGCAGCCAUCCUUUAAAGAAAGCGUAAUAGCUCACUAGUCGAGUCGGCCUGCGUGGAAGAUAUAACGGGGCUAAAUCAUACACCGAAGCUACAGAUCUUAAAUUUAUUUAAGAUGGUAGAAGAGCGUUCUGUAAGCCGCUGAAGGUAAGCUGAGAGGCGAACUGGAGGUAUCAGAAGUGCGAAUGUUGACAUGAGUAACGAUCAAAGAGGUGAAAAACCUCUUCGCCGAAAAACCAAGGGUUCCUGUCCAACGCUAAUCGAGGCAGGGUGAGGCGGCCCCUAAGGCGAGGGCGAAAGCCGUAGUCGAUGGGAAACAGGUUAAUAUUCCUGUACUUUUUACAACUGCGAUGGGGUGACGGAGAAGGUUAAACUAGCACGGCGACGGUUGUCCGUGUUUAAGGUUGUAGGCUGGCGUUUUAGGUAAAUCCGGAAUGCUAAGGCUGAGGACUGAUGACGACCACUCAUUGAGUGGGAAGUAGUUGAUACCAUGCUUCCAGGAAAAACCUCUAAGCUUCAGGUUGUAAGGAACCGUACCCUAAACCGACACAGGUGGUUAGGUCGAGUAGACCAAGGUGUUUGAGAGAACUAUGGUGAAGGAACUAGGCAAAAUAGCACCGUAACUUCGGGAGAAGGUGCGCUGCGUUUGGUGAUGAGACUUGCUCUCUAAGCUGAACGUAGUCGAAGAUACCAGGUGGCUGCGACUGUUUACUAAAAACAUAGCACUCUGCAAACUCGUAAGAGGAAGUAUAGGGUGUGACGCCUGCCCGGUGCCGGAAGGUUAAUUGAUGGGGUUAGCUUAUGCGAAGCUCUUGAUCGAAGCCCCGGUAAACGGCGGCCGUAACUAUAACGGUCCUAAGGUAGCGAAAUUCCUUGUCGGGUAAGUUCCGACCUGCACGAAUGGCGUAACGAUGGGGGCGCUGUCUCCACCAUAGACUCAGUGAAAUCGAAAUCGCGGUGAAGAUGCCGUGUUCCCGCGGCUAGACGGAAAGACCCCGUGAACCUUUACUAUAGCUUGGCACUGAACUUUGAACCUAUCUGUGUAGGAUAGGUGGGAGGCUUUGAAGCGUUAUCGCUAGAUAGCGUGGAGCCAUCCUUGAAAUACCACCCUGGUAUGUUUGAGGUUCUAACUCUGACCCAUUAUCUGGGUUGAGGACAGUGUCUGGUGGGUAGUUUGACUGGGGCGGUCUCCUCCCAAAGAGUAACGGAGGAGCGCGAAGGUACACUCAGCAUGGUCGGAAAUCAUGCUAUGAGCGCAAAGGUAGAAGUGUGCUUGACUGCGAGACUGACACGUCGAGCAGGUACGAAAGUAGGUCUUAGUGAUCCGGUGGUUCUGUAUGGAAGGGCCAUCGCUCAACGGAUAAAAGGUACUCCGGGGAUAACAGGCUGAUA